rnacentral:rRNA from 1 species
AGGGUUUGAUCAUGGCUCAGGAUGAACGCUGGCGGCGUGCCUAACACAUGCAAGUCGAGCGAUGAAAUUUGAAGGAUUUCUUCGGAAUGAAAACAAAUGGAUUAGCGGCGGACGGGUGAGUAACGCGUGGGCAACCUGCCCUGUACUGGAGGAUAGCAUCGGGAAACUGGUGGUAAUACUCCAUAAGCUUACGGUAAGACAUCUUAAAGUAAGAAAAGAUUUAUCGGUACAGGAGGGGCCCGCGUCUGAUUAGAUAGUUGGUGGGGUAACGGCCUACCAAGUCAACGAUCAGUAGCCGACCUGAGAGGGUGAUCGGCCACAUUGGAACUGAGACACGGUCCAG